GUGGCCUUGUUGGAUUGGGUGUGGCCUUGUUGGAGUAGGUGUGGCCUUGUUGGAGUAGGUGUGGCCUCGUUGGAGUAGGUGUGACCUUGUUGGAGUAGGUGUGACCUUGUUGUAUUGGGGUUGACCUUGUUGGAGUAGGUGUGGCCUUGUUGGAGUAGGUGUGACCUUGUUGGAGUAGGUGUGACCUUGUUGGAUUGGGUGUGGCAUUGUUGGAGUAGGUGUGGCCUUGUUGGAGUGGGUGUGGCCUUGUUGAAGUAGGUGUGGCCUUGUUGGAGUUGGUGUGGCCUUGUUGGAGUAGGUGUGGCCUUGUUGGAGUAGGUGUGGCCUUGUUGGAGUAGGUGUGACCUUGUUGGAGUAGGUGUGACCUUGAUGAAGUAGGUGUGACCUUGUUGGAUUGGGUGUGGCAUUGUUGGAGUGGGUGCGGCCUUGUUGGAGUAGUUGUGGCCUUGUUGGAGUAGGUGUGGCCUUGUUGGAGUAGGUGUGACCUUGUUAGAGUAGAUGUGCCCUUGUUGGAAUAGGUGUGACCUUGUUGGAGUAGGUGUGACCUUGUUGGAUUGGGUGUGACCUUGUUGGAGUAGGUGUGACCUUGUUGGAGUAGGUGUGGCUUUGUUGGAGUUGGUGUGGCCUUGUUGGAGUAGGUGUGGCCUUCUUGGAGUAGGUGUGGCCUUGUUGGAGUGGGUGUGGCCUUGUUGGAGUAGUUGUGGCCUUGUUGGAGUGGGUGUGGCCUUGUUGGAGUGGGUGUGGCCUUGUUAGAGUGGGUGUGGCCUUGUUGGAGUGGGUGUCACCUUGUUGGAGUAGGUGAGGCCUUUUUGGAGUAGGUGUGGCCUUGUUGGAGUGGGUGUGGCCCUGUUGGAGUGGUUGUUGCCUUGUUGGAGUGGGUGUGGCCUUUUUGGAGUGGGUGUUUCCUUUUUGGAGUGGUUGUGGUCAUUUUGGAGUGGGUGUGGCCUUGUUGGAUUGGGUGUGGCAUUGUUGGAUUGGGUGUGGCCUUGUUGGAGUGGGUGUGUCCUUGUUGGAGUAAGUGUGGCCUUGUUGGAGUGGGUGUGGCCUUGUUGGAGUGGGUGUGACCUUGUUGGAGUGGGUGUGGCCUUGUUGGAGUAGGUGUGGCCAUGUUGGAGUAGGUGUGACUUUGUUGGAAGAAGUGUGCCACUGUGUUGGCUUUACAUUGAGAUUUGUAUAUACUCAAACUAUGCUCAGUGGUACAGACAAUCCCUUUCUGCUGUCUGUGCAUCAAGAACUUUGGG
ensembl:lncRNA